rnacentral:lncRNA from 1 species
GUUAAUUGUGAGCUUGCAAGUACAUUCAAUGUACUGACCUAGCGUGUCAUGCCAGCUUGCAGGUCGUGCCUGGAUUGCAUGCUUGUUUGCCAUGGAUUCUUUGUUUGCGAGCUAGGAUAAGCGUUCCAGCCAGAGUCCCUGCGGAUUGGAGUUCACCACCGUCAUCGUUGUUCCGCUGCUAGAGUUAUUCCGCUGCUUCGACUUGUUCUGCUGCUUGCAUAGAGCAACUGAGGAUGGCGUAGUGUCGCCGUGCCGAUGUUAUUCAUUGUAAUAUCGGAGACCUCGUAUUCAUAUUCGUGAUAUAAUAGAAAGCUGGUUUGUUCUAUGCUAAGCAGUGCCGUAUUCCAGAAGACUUCUCCUCGAUCUCUGGGCUGGAAUACGGGGCAUUCCGGUUUUCUCUAAGCCGGGGUGCCACAACGCUUGGUAUCAGAGCAGGUCUGGCUGUAGGAUGCCCUAGCCCGCGUGAACGUUAGAAAGCGGUAGUAUAGACCCCAGUUGGUUUGUUGCACUUGAUUGUUGCAUUUGUUUGUCGCAUAGCAUGCAUAUAGAUUGUUAUUUUGUCACUAACGAUUAAUCUUGUGAGUGUAGGUGGCAUCAUUUUCGGUCCACCGCCUGCACCAUCUUUCUUAGCAUGCCUGCUCCUCGGUGUGAUGCGACCACAUCAUCAUCCAUGCCCUCCAUCUCGUCCACUUGGCAACCCUUGCUGAUCUUUGUUAUUAGAAAAGGGCAAUGCCAAAAAAGCCAGCCUUCCACUGUUAUCUUGCCAUGUCAUUUCAUUCUUCGGACGGGUACGACUCCCUUCGUACGCUUGAUGAUGAGGUGAUCGUGACUUUUGUGUCUCGCUACUUGAUCAUCAAGUCCGUUCUCACCUGUGUAUCCAUCCAGAUCCAGCCACUGUUCAGCUAGUGCUUGGUGUAGCUUCGGUUACGCCAACUCCUUCCACACAUGGAUAUAAUUUUCACGCACACCGCCACAGCAUAUUAGACCAUAAUACCAGAGUUUCUGCGCGAUUUGUGUGCUUAGGUGUGCAUGCAUAUUAUGGUGUGAGUAGCAGUAAUAUGUGAUGAUUGCUUGAUUAAUUAAAUUAGUAGUAUGCUUGUGUGCUUUUGUUUUAGUCGUUUCUUUUGUUUCUUUCUUUGGGCCUUCGGUGUUACAAAUUUUUCCCUAUUAAAGUUGCUCGUCAGCCGACACCGGACCCGAAGAGUCAGCAAGAAAUGCAUAUAUUUGGAAACUCAGCUAAACAGAAUGGAAUUGUCCGCAGACUGCAAUGAAAUUGGAAAUAGCUCGUCUGAAUACAAAAGAAAUCCUGGAUGGAAUGUCAGUAUAAAGUUUGCAUUAACGUGCACUCCUCAUAGCAGAAAUGAUCAAAUCAGCAAGAAGAUAAAUUGUGUGCAAGGUUGACAAAAUAUUAUCAAAGGUAUGGCUCAGAUACAAGUGUAAUUUUUCGUUGAGGAUGAAUUUGGAACCCGAGGUACCUGGAAGCAAGCAAAAAUAUGGCAUGUCCUCAAAAAGGAGGAUAGUCCUACAAAACCCCGUUUCAUACAAGAAAUCAAUAACAAAAAUUUUAAGAUGGUUAUAUAUGUCGAAAUCGGUCCGCAUAUCACAAUAAGAAGUUUCUGGUGUGAGUAACCCAAUCUUCCCUCGCAAGAUACCUGAGAAGCUUCCAAGGCAAGAUUCAUCUAUCUUCUUCAGUACGAUACAUGGAUGAUUUCCUGUACAAGGUACUGUGCCUUCUUCAGUAAGCAAACGCAAAAGCUUCUAGCAUAAGGUACUGAGUCUUUCCCCAGCAAAGUCUUUAAGGGGGUAAGCUUCUGAAGCACGAUACCCAGUCUUCUUCAGCAAGCUGUCCGAUGAAAGUUUCGAGCACAAGCCAGCCAAUCUUCCUCAGUAAGACAUUGGUACAAGGUAGUACGCUGUGAAUUGACAGCAUAUGGCAGUGAAUCCCAAGAAUCAGAUCCGCAACAUUUUGGUCAGAAGCAAGAAUCAGUCAGAACUUGAGGGGAGUUGAAACUGCCAUUUAAAUGGGGUACCUUGUCAAAAUAUGAGGAUAGACUACGAUUGCCGAAAAAUUGUACUGACCGUACCUAUGGUGAUACAAAGAAGCAAUAUGACCCAGCUCUUUCAGCCAAGGAUCCAGACCAAGAAAACGAUAAUGAAGGAGCAAGACCAGUGAUGUGGGUACGAAAAUUGUUGCAAGACCCGCGUGGUGCAGAACCACCGUCAGUCAAGUCUGUAGAUAUUAUCCUACAGGUCAAACCCUUAUGCUAGCCACGACAGGCGACAAUCAAAUAUUUGGUGCGGAUCCGAUACUCAAGAAAGUGGAACCAGUUAAGAUGAUUCAGAAACUUCCGCGAUAAGCUAGAAGCUGUCGGGAAAGCGGUUAUGACCCAACUCACUGUUUGGAACCCGAAGGACCUGCAUUUAGUGGAGAAACCCAAUGCAAGGAGUUAGAGCUUGGGUGUCCACUAGAAAAAUCUGAUCACCACUUCAUGAAAGAUUGUCAGUGCCGGAUGACACACCCAGCGAAAAUCACUCUUGGAUUUGUGAGGCCGACAAUAUUUCAGUCGUGAGGAUCAAUCACAGUCAGUUAAGUCAGCAGAUCUAAAAAGAAAUUGGAGCCUGUAUAAGCAUGAACAAGCAAGGUGAGAUCUGUCAGAAUAUGGAUAUAUUAAAGCAAACCACCCCAGGGCCAGUCAGAUAAACAUUUAGUGGGAACAAAAAUAAGAAAAAGGAUACCCGAGUUGGAAACGGUUUCCUUAAGUCAGUAUCUUCAUACUUGUUCCCUGAGCAACCAAAUCUCGAGGACGAGAUUUCUUUAAGGGGGUAAGGUUUGUGACAGCCUGAUUUUUGGCCCUUUCUUUUUCUUUUGUUUUUCUGAGGUUUUUGCUUGAGUUUUCUUUUUUCAUGGCCUUGUGGUCUGGAAACUGAAGAAGAUGAACUCUUCUUUGCUUCCAAAGUGGCUUGUCAUUCCCAAAUCCUUCCCUAGACCCUGUCAUUUUCAUCCUAGCCCAAAUCCCAAUAUUCUUUUUAUUGGGGAUAUUCCUUUUCUAUUAAAGGAAUAACUCAAAUUGCCCCAGGUUGUGAAGCAACCUUUAUUUCUAUCACUCCUAAAAUUCCCAAAUAAUUCUCAUAAAUUGUUUGGGUCAUAUCUUUCUCAAAUAUAGCAAAAUAUUUCAUUUGUCAUGUUUAUCAUCAUGCUCAAAUAAUUCAUUUCCUAUUCUUCCCUAAAUGGCACAUUGUGAAGCAAGUGCUAUUUUACUUUUACCAAUUAACCUCAAACUCCUUGGACACCUUUUCCUGUCCAUAUCAUUGCCACAUGCCAAAGUGCAACCUCAUUUGCCUAGUAAAUAUUCCUGAGCACUUAUUCAAAGUUCCUGUCUGAGGGAACUGGUUGUGAAGGAAGUACAAGCUAGGCAUAUCCAAAUGAGUUUCCAUUUUUCAUGAUCCCUCAUAUCAUCAUAUCAUAGCUCUCCACCAAAGUAGAGCUCAUGUCAUGCCUCCAUGUGAGCUCAGCUUCAAUUCUUAGUUUCUGGUCAAAAUUUCAGUUUGUGAAGCAAGUAUAUUUUAUCUUGCUGCAUUAUGGCUGCAAAUUUUUCUAGGCCUUCUAGUAUCCAUAUAACUUCCCACCACCAAGUUGUGGCUCAAUCUCUUUGACCAUUUGCCCUGUGGAAUUUUUCCAAGUUUCUGGUCAGAAUAAAUCUUUCUAAAGCAAGUGCUAUUUUGGUUCAUCCAAAUGGCAUGAAACUCCUUGGGCAUCUGUAUAUCUUCAAAUCAUUGGGCCAUAACCAUUUGCAGCUCAAUUGAUGCAACUAUGUGAGUGCAUCAUCCAAAUUCCCAUUUCUGGCCAUUAUGGCACUUUCUACAGCAACCACCCUUUAAACUCCUCCUCUUAAGCUGAUUUCCUGUGAUCGUAGUCACCUUAGUGUAUGAUCAUUACCAGACAAAGAUUUUACUGAGUUGCCUAGCUAGUGUCCCCACUGCACAGCACAAACACUUGGCUGCUGGUUUGCUUUGGGGCCAUCUGCAAAUCUCUUCUUUGCCCCUAGAUUGAUUUAUUUCUUCAUUUAGACUAAGGUCACUAGGGUCAUUCCACGGGACAUGGUCGGCCCGGCCAGAACGCGCUGUGUGCACCAGUGCGCACGGUGACCACCUCUCUGGCGUGCAAUGGCCGCGUCCAGAAUGGCUUGUUGCUCGAGCCCCUCCCCUGCUUGGUGUCUCAGCGAGCACGGGCAUAUCCACUGUCUUCCUCUCGUCGUCGUCGUUCCCCUAGACCCCUCUCCCCAUCCGUCCUCUUCCCCACUGAUGCAAGCCGCCGCGCGCCCACGAGAGCACAGUGGAGCUUUGGAUCUUCCCGUCGCCGUCGUCUUCCUCCCUGCGCCCCUUUGCCUCCUCUGCCCCGUGAGAACCUCUACUGUGCCUCCCUCGUCGCCUGCCCCGAGCUCGAGCGCGCGGGCAUGCAUCCGCGGCACCGGACUCGCGUCCGCGGUGGUGCCAGCUCGGCCUCGCUCGCCCCGCCUAUAAAUGGCCCUCCCCCGAGCGUUUCGAGCUCACCAGCAACCUUCCCACAUUCCUCUACCCCUCCCCGACCUCUCAUUCGAGCUCCGAGAGCUCCUGAGCCCGACCUUUCUUCAUCCCCAGGCAAGCCACAAUACCCACUUGCAUGAUAGUCAUGCAGUAGCCAUGGUUUUCAACUUGAAUAUUUAUUGAAUGUUUGCUUGUUUAAAAUAUGGUUAUCGUUGUUUCGGUAAUGCUUCUGGGUUAGUGCUUACCUUCUUGCUAUGUUGUUAUGCACCUGGUUAUCAUGCCCUGCUAGUUGCCAGUAUUCCUUUCAUAUGCUUAUGCUUGCUAGUAGUACAUGUUGAUGUUGGUAAUGGUCUUCGGUGCAUGAUGACCAUCCGUCCCGAGUACCGUUGUUAUACAUGUUCCAUUGCAUCCAGUUGGUUAAAUGCUUGCAUGCUUGCAUUGUUGUUAUGUUCAUGCAUGAUGUUUAUGGUUGAUGCUAGUGGUCAUGUUAUGAUAUGAGUAGUGUUGCACUUGUAAUAUUUAUGCUCGUCAUUAUGCCAUGUUCAGUUGGAGAUUAUUCAUGGUUGAUAUGGUGGGUAGUUAUGUUGCAUCCCGUGCUUAUGUUGAUAAUAUUCUCAUGCUUUGUGUAUGCAUCAUGUUAUUUUAUCAUGGCUUGGCAUAUUGCAUUCAAGUUUAACCGGAUUAAAUUGAACUUGAACAACUGUUGGCUGAGUCAUGGUGCCACCAUAUCGAAACUGACCAGUGCAACCACGCUUACCUUAUGGGGAGGUCCUAACUGGGUCUAUUGUCGUGCAUCUCGCCGGUGCCUCCCACGAGGGAAGGUUAUGGGCGUGCUUACCCUGAUCAGGUAGGCAGACAUAACCUUGUGUGCUCGUUGUUUUUAGUUUUAUGGAUCCGGUCCCCGAGUGGGAGUGUUUUGACCACGACGGUGGUCGGGGUGUCUUUGGUAGACACGGGGCCACCCAGGACUAGCCCGUUGGGGAUUUGGUCGGAGUGGCCGGGAGAAUGUCACGGCAGUAGAUCGGUUUUGUCGGAACGCCGUUGGUCCACCCGAAUGGGAGUGCGAGGCCAUGGGUUCCGCGGUGUGGGUAUAGUGUGCUAACCUCUGCAGAGUGUAUAUUAAAUCUAUCGAUAGCCGCGCCCGUGGAUUAGGGCCCAGUUCGUGUCGGUCCCACCGUGAGUCAACGGUAUUAAUAAUGACUUGAUUAAUAACAACCCCGUUUGAUGAUGAGAUAAGUUGGUUGUGAUCGCCGUAAGGAUCACGGGCCAAAUACUGGUCGUGGUUGUGAUCGCCGUAAGGAUCACGGUUUGAGACCAAGUGUUGGUCGUGGUUGUGAUCGCUGGAAGGAUCACGGUGGUAUCGAGGAUACAGAGUUAUUGUAUAUUCGCGAUGUUGUGCGAGAAUCAUGGGUAAAGAUCAAGCUCCUUGUGGUCAUUUAAUGAUUACUACGGUAUUGUUUAUACCAAGCUUGAUUUGAUCCUGAGAUAAUCGUGUGAUGUCCGAGGUUGGUAAGUGAGGCAUGUGAUGCUUACGUAGUAACCCGAGCAAAAUAAAUAAUGCAUAUAGUGUCAUCAUAUUGCAUGUUAGUAUCGUCAAACUCAUAUGCUCAUGCUAUGCUCAUGUUGUUCUAGCUGUAUCGUGUUCAUGUUGCCUUUGGAUUUUUAGUGGCUAUUAUGAUUAUUUUCACGAUGGUACCUUGUAUUAUUUUGGGAGUAUUACUUUGGGUGUCAUGUUGUUCAGGUCAUGUUGUUAUGAGGAUCUCAUGUUAAUUCCUGCUUAACCUGUAAUUGCCAUGCUGUUGUUUGUCUUGAAUGCUUCUGGUUAAUUGUGAGCUUGCAAGUACAUUCAAUGUGCUGACCUGGCGUGACAUGCCAGCUUGCAGGUGGUGCCUGGAUUGCAUGCUUGUUUGCCAUGGAUUCUUUGUUUGCGAGCUAGGAUAAGCGUUCCAGCCAGAGUCCCUGCGGAUUGGAGUUCACCACCGUCGUCGUUGUUCCGCUGCUAGAGUUAUUCCGCUGCUUCGAGUUGUUCUGCUGCUUGCAUAGAGCAACUGAGGAUGGCGUAGUGUCGCCGUGCCGAUGUUAUUCAUUGUAAUAUCGGAGACCUUGUAUUCAUAUUCGUGAUAUAAUAGAAAGUUGGUUUGUUG